AUUGAACGCUGGCGGCAGGCCUAACAAAUGCAAGUCGGACGGCAACAGGAAGCAGCUUGCUGCUUUGCUGACGAGUGGCGGACGGGUGCGUAAUGUCUGGGACACUGCCUGAUGGAGGGGGUUAACUACUGGAAACGGUAGCUACUACCGCAUAACGUCUUCGGGUCAAAGCGGGGGCCCUUCGGGCCUCUGGCCAUCAGAUGUGCCCGGAUGGGAUUAGCUAGUUGGUGGGGUAACGGCUCACCAAGGCGACGGACCCGAGCUGGUUCUGAGAGGAUGACCAGCAACACUGGAACUGAGACCCGGUCCAGACUCCUACGGGAGGCAGCAGUGGGGAAUAUUGCACAAUGGGCGCAAGCCUGAUGCAGCCAUGCCGCGUGUAUGAAGAAGGCCUUCGGGUUGUAAAGUACUUUCAGCGGGGAGGAAGGGGGAGUGGUUAAUAACCAUUUUCAUUGACGUUACCCGCAGAAGAAGCACCGGCUAACUCCGUGCCAGCCGCCGCCGUAA
rnacentral:rRNA from 1 species